rnacentral:rRNA from 1 species
UACGAAGGGGGCUAGCGUUGCUCGGAAUUACUGGGCGGAAAGCGCACGUAGGCGGAUUGUUAAGUCGGGGGUGAAAUCCUGGAGCUCAACUCCAGAACUGCCUUCGAUACUGGCGAUCUCGAGUUCGGGAGAGGUGAGUGGAACUGCGAGUGUAGAGGUGAAAUUCGUAGAUAUUCGCAAGAACACCAGUGGCGAAGGCGGCUCACUGGCCCGAUACUGACGCUGAGGUGCGAAAGCGUGGGGAGCAAACAGG